rnacentral:rRNA from 1 species
CCCUGUUGAGCUUGACUCUAGUCCGACAUUGUGAAAUGACUUAAGAGGUGUAGAAUAAGUGGGAGCGCAAGCGCCGGUGAAAUACCACUACUUUUAAUGUUAUUUUACUUAUUCCGUGAAGUAGAGGCGGGGCCCAAAGCCCCACUUUCUGGACUUAAGGACUUCGGUCCGAUCUAGGCGGAAGACAUUGUCAGGUGGGGAGUUUGGCUGGGGCGGCACAUCCGUAAAAGAUAACGCGGGUGUCCUAAGGUGAGCUCAAUGAGAACAGAAAUCUCAUGUAGAACAAAAGGGUAAAAGCUCACUUGAUUUUGAUUUUCAGUAUGAAUACAAACUGUGAAAGCAUGGCCUAUCGAUCCUUUAGUUGCUUAGAGUUUAAGCCUAGAGGUGUCAGAAAAGUUACCACAGGGAUAACUGGCUUGUGGCAGCCAAGCGUUCAUAGCGACGUUGCUUUUUGAUC